rnacentral:lncRNA from 1 species
AAGCGGCUCAAGAACACCCUGCUGUUAGCCGUGUGCUUCAACUCGGUCUUCGGGGGCAUCUCCAACUUCCUGCUGGGCCCAGCCACGGCUUCUCUCCUGGCGAACCUUCAGAAUUCGGACGCUGACGAGCAAGUGAACUCGCUGCAGUGGUGCCUGGUGAACUUCCCGGCGGCGCUGGCUGCUUCGGCCUGCUCCUUCUUCUACGUCAGCUACACAGGCCUGUUCAGCUGGGAGGGUGAAGCCAUCAAGCGAGCCGAGCAAGAUGCCAGGCAGAAGGUCGCCGAAAGAAGGAAGAGGCACGGCAAGUGCAGGUACG